GCGGGUGUGGUUCAAUGGUAGAACUCCAGCUUCCCAAGCUGGCGGCGAGGGUUCGAUUCCCUUCACCCGCUCCA
rnacentral:tRNA from 1 species